UCUAAGUGAGCACAUUUGCCAGAUUUGAUAUAUAAGUGCAAUGAGAGGGACAUAGGGCUGAGAAGUGCCCCCUCCCAGCCAUGAACUUGGACACAAAGCACAGAAGCAGAUGGUCCAGGCAUUGAGCAAUUGAGCAAGUUUCCAUGACAACCAAUAUUUUAUUUCUGGCUCCCUCGCACCAGGCCUUGGUGGAAGGUCCCCGGGGUCCAACUGGCUGGCUUAAGUCUUGGAUUGUAACUCCAUUGUGUUCUUUCCCCUGCGCUACUGACUGACAGUGACACAAUGUACGGGUCCCUAAAGGGGAGACCAUUGAUCUCGCUGCGAGUGACGGUGACGCACGUUGGGUUAUUAAGAUGAAGAAUCCCAGUAACUGAAUGUGACAGAACUGGAACCUUCAGUAGGACAAAGGUGGGUGCGUUUCAUUGUUGCGCAGUCCCAACCCCACAGCUAGAAGAGUUCAUUCCCCAGCAGAGACAUCUCUAUUAUGGUCACAGAACUUCAGGGUGAAAGGGGGAGUCCAUGUGUCUAUAUAUAAGGACCCCCCACAUUCCUAGGAGGCGCCUUCCUUAAACUGACGGUGAAAGUAAUAGAUGUAGGAAUGUUAUUUUAUGCAAUCAUUCCUUUCCCCCUUGCUUAUUGUUUGCAUUUCACUUGGUUCUGUUACCCUUUAAUGCUGUUUAGGGCUGUUGACUGUUUGUUUCUAGGUUCCUCUUUGUUGAAUGAGGGAUGGGACUUAAAGGGUUAAACGGCAACCUCCCAGUGCACUGAUUGGCUCCAGCCUAGAGAUGGGUCGGAACCACAGGAACAGAUGGAAGGUUGAAAGGAAAGCAGCCAGACCCGACCUGUGGUCUGCAGACCAACAGAACCACUGACCCAGACUGUGCCAAUCCGUCACAUGACUACCUAAUAGCCACACAGUACCUGCAGAUUCCAGGGCUCGGGAAAGUGAAUGAAUGGAGCAGCGCAGAGGCAACUGCUUGUGACCCAGCUGUUCCAGUGGAGGCAAAUCCCGUGGUCUGUCUGAUUCCUUAAAACACAAUAUUAGUGGGCAGGGCAGUAUAUGUGUAUUUCUAAGGGAUUAGGCCCAGGAUUAAGCUCCAGCCUCUUCCAUUCUCUAUUAAUUUAGGACACAACAAUAUUUAGCUUUAGAGGAAUGACAUGUAACCCUUCCAGGGCUUUCCGUAGUGGUCCAGAGCCUCUGAAUGGUGCUAUACCCCUGGCCCUAUCUGUCCUUACUAUUCACUCUAUGCCACAGUCAUAGGCUAUAUAUUAGGUACCUAUCUAGUGCUACC